GAUGAACGCUGACAGAAUGCUUAACACAUGCAAGUCAACUUGAAUUUGGGUUUUUAACUUAGGUUUGGGUGGCGGACGGGUGAGUAACGCGUAAAGAACUUGCCUCACAGCUAGGAACAACAUUUGGAAACGAAUGCUAAUACCUAAUAUUAUGAUAAUAGGGCAUCCUUUAAUUAUGAAAGCUAUAAGCGCUGUGAGAGAGCUUUGCGUCCCAUUAGCUAGUUGGAGAGGUAACGGCUCAUCAAGGCGAUGAUGGGUAGCCGGCCUGAGAGGGUGAUCGGCCACAAGGGGACUGAGACACGGCCCUUACUCCUACGGGAGGCAGCAGUGGGGAAUAUUGGACAAUGGACCAAGAGUCUGAUCCAGCAAUUCUGUGUGCACGAUGAAGUUUUUCGGAAUGUAAAGUGCUUUCAGUUGGGAAGAAAGAAAUGACGGUACCAACAGAAGAAGUGACGGCUAACUACGUG
rnacentral:rRNA from 1 species